AUGCUCAAGUCUCUUAUAUAAAAUGCUGCAGUACUACAGUCGGUCACACACAUCGAAACUGAUGCUUCCUACUGACAGUCUGUGUAGUUAUCAGAUUUUCCAUGCAAUGGCUCCAUAAGUG